rnacentral:rRNA from 1 species
AUUGAACGCUGGCGGCAUGCCUUACACAUGCAAGUCGAACGGUAACAGGUCUUCGGAUGCUGACGAGAGGCGAACGGGUGAGUAAUACAUCGGAACGUGCCUAGUAGUGGGGGAUAACUACUCGAAAGAGUGGCUAAUACCGCAUGAGAUCUACGGAUGAAAGCAGGGGAUCGCAAGACCUUGUGCUACUAGAGCGGCCGAUGGCAGAUUAGGUAGUUGGUGGGAUAAAAGCUUACCAAGCCGACGAUCUGUAGCUGGUCUGAGAGGACGAUCAACCACACUGGGACUGAGACACGGCCCAGACUCCUACGGGAGGCAGCAGUGGGGAAUUUUGGACAAUGGGAGCAAGCCUGAUCCAGCAAUGCCGCGUGCAGGAUGAAGGCCUUCGGGUUGUAAACUGCUUUUGUACGGAACGAAAAGCCCUGGGUUAAUACCCUGGGGUCAUGACGGUACCGUAAGAAUAAGCACCGGCUAACUACGUGCCAGCAGCCGCCGUAA